UACGAGGGGGGCAAAUGUUGUUCGGAAUCACUGGGCGUAAAGGGAGCGUAGGCGGGGUUUUAAGUCAGGUGUUUAAUCCCGGGGCCCAACCCCGGACCGGCACUUGAAACUGGGAAUCUUGAAUAGGGGAGAGGUCAGUGGAAUUGGAGGUGUAGCGGUGGAAUGCGUAGAGAUCUCCAAGAACACCAGUUGCGAAGGCGGCUGACUGGACCCAUAUUGACGCUGAGGCUCGAAAGCAUGGGGAGCAAACAGG
rnacentral:rRNA from 1 species